GAUGAACGCUGGCGGCGUGCCUAAUACAUGCAAGUCGAGCGAAUGGAUUAAGAGCUUGCUCUUAUGAAGUUAGCGGCGGACGGGUGAGUAACACGUGGGUAACCUGCCCAUAAGACUGGGAUAACUCCGGGAAACCGGGGCUAAUACCGGAUAAUAUUUUGAACUGCAUGGUUCAAAAUUGAAAGGCGGCUUCGGCUGUCACUUAUGGAUGGACCCGCGUCGCAUUAGCUAGUUGGGGAGGUAACGGCUCACCAAGGCAACGAUGCGUAGCCGACCUGAGAGGGUGAUCGGCCACACUGGGACUGAGACACGGCCCAGACUCCUACGGGAGGCAGCAGUAGGGAAUCUUCCGCAAUGGACGAAAGUCUGACGGAGCAACGCCGCGUGAGUGAUGAAGGCUUUCAGGUCGUAAAACUCUGUUGUUAGGGAAGAACAAGUGCUAGUUGAAUAAGCUGGCACCUUGACGGUACCUAACCGGAAAGCCACGGCUAACUACGUGCCAGCAGCCGCCGCCG
rnacentral:rRNA from 1 species